rnacentral:rRNA from 1 species
AUUGAACGCUGGCGGCGGGCCUAACACAUGCAAGUCGAGCGGAGCGGCGGACGGGAGCGUAAUGCUAAGGAAUCUGCCUGGUAGUGGGGGAUAACGUCCGGAAACGGGCGCUAAUACUGAAUACUAUCAGAUGAGCCUAGGUCGGAUUAGCUGGUGGGUGGGGUAAAGGCCUACCAAGGGAACGAUCCGUAACUGGUCUGAGAGGAUGAUCAGUCACAUUGGAACUGGGAACCGGUCCGAACGCCUACGGGAGGCAGCAGUGGGGAAUAUUGGACAAUGGGCGAAGGCCUGAUCAGGACAUGCGGCGGGUGUGAAGAAGGUCUUGGGUUUGAAAGGCACGUUAAUUGGGAAGGCGUUACCAACAGAAUAAGCACCGGCUAACUACGUGCCAGCAGCCGCGGUAAUUC